AGGAGGAACAACCGCAGUGGCGGGGCCAGCUCUGCAAACCUGGAGUCAGCCCCCGCAGUAGCUCCGGAGCUCUCCGUCUGCAGGGCCUGGAGGCUCCAGAGCGGG
rfam:Canis lupus familiaris chromosome 12, whole genome shotgun sequence.